UACGUAGGUGGCGAGCGUUGUCCGGAUUUACUGGGCGUAAAGAGCGCGCAGGCGGUCGUACAAGUCGCGUGUGAAAGCCCCCGGCUCAACUGGGGAGGGUCACGCGAUACUGUUCGACUCGAAGGCAGGAGAGGGAAGUGGAAUUCCCGGUGUAGUGGUGAAAUGCGUAGAUAUCAGGAGGAACACCGGCGGUGUAGACGGCUUUCUGGACCGUAGCUGACGCUGAGACACGAAAGCGUGGGGAGCAAACAGG
rnacentral:rRNA from 1 species